AACGCUGGCGGCGUGCUUAACACAUGCAAGUCGAACGGGAAUUAUUUUAUUGAAACUUCGGUCGAUUUAAUUUAAUUCUAGUGGCGGACGGGUGAGUAACGCGUGGGUAACCUGCCUUAUACAGGGGAAUAACAGUCAGAAAUGGCUGCUAAUACCGCAUAAGCGCACAGAGCUGCAUGGCUCAGUGUGAAAAACUCCGGUGGUAUAAGAUGGACCCGCGUUGGAUUAGCUUGUUGGUGGGGUAACGGCCCACCAAGGCGACGAUCCAUAGCCGGCCUGAGAGGGUGAACGGCCACAUUGGGACUGAGACACGGCCCAGACUCCUACGGGAGGCAGCAGUGGGGAAUAUUGCACAAUGGGGGAAACCCUGAUGCAGCGACGCCGCGUGAAGGAAGAAGUAUCUCGGUAUGUAAACUUCUAUCAGCAGGGAAGAUAGUGACGGUACCUGACUAAGAAGCCCCGGCUAACUACGUGCCAGCAGCCGCGGUAAUACGUAGGGGGCAAGCGUUAUCCGGAUUUACUGGGUGUAAAGGGAGCGUAGACGGUGUGGCAAGUCUGAUGUGAAAGGCAUGGGCUCAACCUGUGGACUGCAUUGGAAACUGUCAUACUUGAGUGCCGGAGGGGUAAGCGGAAUUCCUAGUGUAGCGGUGAAAUGCGUAGAUAUUAGGAGGAACACCAGUGGCGAAGGCGGC
rnacentral:rRNA from 1 species